rnacentral:rRNA from 1 species
GAUGAACGCUAGCUACAGGCUUAACACAUGCAAGUCGAGGGGCAGCAUUUCAUUUUGCUUGCAAAGUGAAGAUGGCGACCGGCGCACGGGUGAGUAACACGUAUCCAACCCGCCGAUAACUCGGGGAUAGCCUUUCGAAAGAAAGAUUAAUAUCCGAUAGCAUAUCAAUCCCGCAUGAGAUUGAUAUUAAAGAAUUUCGGUUAUCGAUGGGGAUGCGUUCCAUUAGUUUGUUGGCGGGGUAACGGCCCACCAAGACUACGAUGGAUAGGGGUUCUGAGAGGAAGGUCCCCCACAUUGGAACUGAGACACGGUCCAAACUCCUACGGGAGGCAGCAGUGAGGAAUAUUGGUCAAUGGGCGCAGGCCUGAACCAGCCAAGUAGCGUGAAGGAUGAAGGCUCUAUGGGUCGUAAACUUCUUUUAUAUGGGAAUAAAGUUUUCCACGUGUGGAAUUUUGUAUGUACCAUAUGAAUAAGGAUCGGCUAACUCCGUGCCAGCAGCCGCGGUAAUACGGAGGAUCCGAGCGUUAUCCGGAUUUAUUGGGUUUAAAGGGAGCGUAGGUGGACUGUCAAGUCAGUUGUGAAAUCCGCGGGCUCAACCUGCGGCCUGCAGUUGAAACUGGCGGUCUUGAGUCCGUUCAGGGAUGCUGGAAUUCAUGGUGUAGCGGUGAAAUGCUCAGAUAUCAUGAAGAACUCCAAUCGCGAAGGCAGGCAUCCGGGCCGGAACUGACACUGAGGCUCGAAAGUGCGGGUAUCAAACAGG